rnacentral:rRNA from 1 species
AAGUCUGGUGCCAGCAGCCGCGGUAAUUCCAGCUCCAAUAGCGUAUAUUAAAAUUGUUGCGUCUAAAAAGCUCGUAGUUUGAAAACUUGCCUUGACUUACAAUCGGUCCUCAGGGGCCACCGUUUGUUGAGAGCAAAUAUGGAUGACUGUUUUUGCCGACUUCACUGUUCGGCUUAUAAGAGUCAUCAAAUAUCACUUUGAUUAAAUUAGAGUGCUCAAAGCAAGUGUGUUACUUGGAUAUAAAUGCAUGGAAUGAUGGAAUAUGUUGUUGUUCUAUUUGUUGGUUUUUGAACGAUGAAAUGAUUAAAAGGAACUGUUGGGGGCAUUCGUAUUGUUGUGAGAGAGGUGAAAUUCUUAGACCACAGCAAGACGAACUACUGCGAAAGCAUUUGCCAAGAAUGUUUUCAUUGAUCAAGAACGAAAGUUAGAGGUUCGAAGGCGAUCAGAUACCGCCCUAGUUCUAACCAUAA